UCCCAGUGGUUUCUCCACAUUUCUUGCCUUUUCCGGGACUUGAGAACCCUAUCGUCCGUCCAGUCUCGAUCAUACGGACGAUAGUGGCCAAUUGAGUCUUUCUAAUGACAUCUCAUCACCUGCUGCCCUUUCGCAGUGUAUCGCCCGUCGCCGCACGAUAAGCGCGGCCUUUCGGUUUCUUAACUCCCCCGUCGCUGAUUGGGGGCGGAAGAGAGCCUGCUGCCACCGCGAAUCCUCCAUCUCCUGCUCUGCCUCUUCUUCCCUUCUGGAUUUGAUUUCUAAUCUCUCUGCUUCUUCUAAUUUUCUUCUUCCUUUCGAGUUCGUGAGGUUCUCAGAUCGAGUAGGUGCGCCCCGCCGUAAGCAAUUCUUGUCAUCGUUCCGUAGUUCGACUACCGAUCGGGUCGAUUGGUUUGCGUUUGAUGGGAGGAAGGGUUUUGGAUUUAUAGUUUCUAGGGUUUUUCAGCGUGCGCAGCGUUAAAACUGUAGGCCUCGCUUUCUUUAUUUCUUUAUCUUUUCUCUUUUUUUUUUUUUUUUUUUUUUUUUUUUUGUCACCUUGGAAUCGGAGGUCGACUGUUUUUUGAGCUACGAACGGUUAGAUUUUAGAUUUUUGGAGGUGGGUGGUCGCACGUUUUCUUUACCUUUUUGGGUUCUAAGUUCCAUCAUUCUCUAGAAGAAUUACUUGUUGCCUGGUGCUUUAUGAAUCUUGUGAUUUCCAGGUUAUUCUGAGGAAUUAUCGAGUGGGCUUUCCUCUAAAAUAGUUAUCUUUUUGAUCGCUGGAGCUGAAAAUCGCUUCAAAUAGGGAUAAAAACUGCUGGUUUUUUGGCUUUUGCGAAUUCCUUUGGUCAAAAAUUGUCCCAAUGUUCUAUUGACCAUUUUCUCGGAAGCUUUGAGAGUUUUGGGCAAAAGACAUGUAUCUUAUUCAAUGAAGAUGACAGAGCAAUUCCACUUAAGUCUCUUGUCUUACUCGCCACCCAUAUGGGCCACACUGAUUGCUGGUCUCUUUGUAGUCAUCUCCCUGACGUUGUCCAUGCUUCUACUAUUCAAUCAUCUUUCGGCGUAUAAGAAUCCUGAGGAGCAGAAGUUUCUGAUUGGUGUCAUCCUAAUGGUCCCUUGCUUUGCUGUUGAGUCGUAUGUAUCAUUGGUGAAUCCAUCAAUUAGUGUUGAUUGUGAGAUCCUGCGUGAUUGUUAUGAGGCCUUUGCCAUGUAUUGCUUCGGAAGAUAUCUAGUUGCUUGCCUGGGUGGGGAAGAGAGAACAAUUGAGUUUUUGGAGAGGCAGGGUGGUUCGUGUUCUUCCGCGCCCCUACUUCAAUAUGCUUCUGAAAAGGGAGUUAUAAAGCAUCCUUUUCCAAUGAAUUAUAUUCUAAAUUCAUGGAAACUUGGUGAAUGGUUUUAUCAGCUUAUUAAGAUUGGAAUUGUUCAAUAUAUGAUAAUAAAGACAGUCUCUGCCAUUUUAGCAGUAGUUCUUGAAGCUUUCAAUGUAUAUUGUGAAGGAGAGUUCAAAUUGAGCUGCGGGUACCCUUACAUGGCUGUGGUUCUUAAUUUCAGCCAAUCAUGGGCAUUGUAUUGUUUAAUUCAAUUCUACGCUGCAACAAAGGAUGAACUGGCUCAUAUAAAACCAUUAGCCAAAUUUUUGGUAUUCAAGUCCAUUGUUUUUUUGACUUGGUGGCAAGGUGUGGCAAUUGCACUUCUUUAUAGCUGGGGCUUGCUCAAAAGCCCUAUUGCUCAGGGAUUACAAUUAAAGUCAAGCAUUCAGGACUUCAUUAUUUGUAUAGAGCGCAGAUGGGUGUUGCCUCUAUUGUUCAUCUCUAUGUUUUCCCUUCUAAGCCAUAUGAACUAAUGGGUGAACGCUUUCCGGGAAGCAUCUCAGUUCUUGGAGACUAUGCAUCUUUGGAUUGCCCUUUGGACCCUGAUGAGGUUUGGGACAGUGAACGGCCUACAAAGCUUAGACUUCCUCAGCCUGAUGUUGAUAUCAAAAGUGGAACAGGUAUCAAAGAAAGCAUGCGAGAUGUUGUCAUUGGAGGAGGAGAAUAUAUUGUCAAUGAUUUGAAGUUCACAGUCACACAUGCGGUGGAGCCCAUGGAGAAGGGCCUAACAAAAUUCAAUGAGAAGCUUCACAAGAUAUCUCAAAACAUAAAAAAGCAUGAAAAGGAGAGAAAGAGAGUCAAAGACGAUAGUUGUAUCAGUUCGUCAUCACCAACAAGGAGGGUAAUUCGUGGAAUAGAUGAUCCACUGUUGAAUGGAAGUGUUAGUGAUACUGGGGCUUUCAGAGGAAGAAGACACCGUAGGAAAUCAGGUUAUACCAGUGCAGAAAGUGGGGGAGAAAGUAGUGAUCAUAGUCAUGGUGGUUAUGAAAUUCAGGGGCGUAGGUGGGUAACAAAGGAUUGAAGCCAUAGAAGUAAAUCCACUCCUCACAGUAGACAAGAUGCAUGCUGGUCUGAGCAUAUGGAGCAUCAACAUCAGUGGUUGCAGAGAGAAUCUAAUCACAUUCUCUAUCACAAGCCUGCAAGUGAAGGUUCUUGGUCUUUUCUUUGCACCAGCAUUAGGCAAAUUUGUAUAUGCCUAGCAGGAAGAUUGUAUACAUACCUAGCUUCAUCGGAGCUCCCUGGGUGGAGCAAAAAGAAAUGGCCGAAAUGGCCGCAGCUCCAUCAAUGCUCUGGUGCAGAUUGCAUUCCAAGAGAUCAAUUUCUUUGGGAGGGUUCUAUUGAUCAAAAAAUCCUCAUGUAAUGAUGAGACCCAGCAAGCUUGUGCAUCCAAUUGACACUUGUUGCAAGGGUAAUGGAUGUUAUAAAGCUUUAAUGGAUGUUGUAAAGCUUCAAUUUCACCAGCAGUUACAAGUAUUGGGCACCUGCUCUAAUGGUUGUUGUAAAGCUUCAAUUUCCACCAGCAGUUACAAGUAUUGGGCGCCUGCUCUUUUGGGUUGUUUUAAUGACAUCCAGAAUUAUUUCCUAAAAAUGUAGCACCAUGAAUAUAUUGAAUUUGAAUACGCUACCAGGUUGUUACUUACCAUCAAGUGUCCUUCCCAAUUAAUACAGAACCCUUGUGUACCAUGAAAAUGGUAAGAUUGACUA